rnacentral:rRNA from 1 species
GACAGAGGGUGCAAACGUUGUUCGGAAUUACUGGGCGUAAAGCGCGUGUAGGCGGCUAUGUAAGUCGGGCGUGAAAUCCCACGGCUCAACCGUGGAAGUGCACUCGAAACUGCAUAGCUAGAGUCCUGGAGAGGAAGGUGGAAUGCUUGGUGUAGAGGUGAAAUUCGUAGAUAUCAAGCGAAACACCGGUGGCGAAGGCGGCCUUCUGGACAGUGACUGACGCUGAGACGCGAAAGCGUGGGGAGCAAACAGG